UGUCCUCAUUUAGGAAUCAGGACUGAACACUGACAAGUCACUAUGUCUCCAUUUAGCUGGAUUUUUCUUGUUGCUAUUUUAAAAGGUGUCCAGUGUGAGGUGCAACUGGUGGAGUCUGGAGGAGACCUGAGGCAGCCUGGAGGGUCUCUGAAGCUCUCCUGUGCAGCCUCUGGGUUCACCUUCGAUGACUACUACAUGUACUGGGUUCGCCAAGCUCCAGGGAAAGGACUUCAGUGGGUCUCAGCUAUUAGUUAUAGUGGUGGUAGUACAUACUACGCAGAGUCUGUGAAGGGCCGAUUCACCAUCUCCAGAGACAACGCCAAGAACAUGGUGUACCUGCAGAUGAACAGUCUGAGAAGAGAGGACACAGCCACGUAUUACUGUGCAAGAGACACACAGUUAGGAAAAGUUAUUGUGAACCCAGACAGAAAGCUCUCUGUGGGAGCUGCGUGCACAGCAGUUAGAUCCACAAACAGGUGCAGAUGUGGGAUAAAGACUGGUUUCCGUUAG